AUGACGAAAGUUCCUCAGGGGUUUGAUUGCAGUUUCCUAAACGAUGAAGAAGCCAGGAAGAUCCUUCAGGUGCUGGAAAGAAAUGAGGAGCUCCAGAGAGCAGAGAAGGAGAGGAUCAGCAAACUCCAGAAGACAAAGAGGGAUAUCAGAUGGCUUCAAGGAGUGACUGGUGAAUGGUUUGAAGAAAUUCAAAGGAAAAAGUUUUGUAAUGAAACAGAUGUUAGCCAAAUGUUAAAACAACCGCUUACACAUAGGCUGAGAAAGGGGAUGGCAGAAAAUGAUCCUGUGGAAUUACAAACAUCAAGAUCUAAAAAUAUACUCAAUCAAAGAAACCCAAAAUCCGUUCCUUCUCGGCUGAGCUUCAGAUCAUCAUUUGCUUCCUUGUUCUCAUUCAGAAAAUCCAGAAAGGAGACUUCAAAGCUUCAGUCGCUGGGACAGACAGGAUGUGAUGGCCACACACCUUCUGUGUCUGUGAAGGGAACCACUUUGCAGGCAAAAAUAUACAGUCCACCUCUGGAAAGCCAACCCACUGACAGUGCAACUGUCCCCAGGCCAGCAAGCAUGAGGGAGGGAAGUACUGUCCCUCCGUGGGAUGGUUCACUGCUAGAGGAUGAGUUCUUCCAAGUUUUAGAUGAUUUGGAUAGCAAACUGGCUCAGGAACAAUCUCCAAGCUCAGUGAAUACCAGAACACCUCUCGACAUUGGAUCAAGAACACAAUUCAGUCGUUUUUACUCCAGUGGGAGCAAAUACAAUAAUAUCACAGGAAGGCACAAAAAUUGCUAUAAUGAAACUUCUAAUAUGUCUAUCUAUGAUGUCUUAAGACCAGGAACCCCUAGGGAAGGUUUUAAAACCUUUUCUCCUAGAACAAGGACAAUCUACAAUAUGUAUAGGACAAGGGAACCCAGAAUCUUAAAAGAAGAUUGUGUGCGAAACAAUUCUUUUGGUAGUACUUCUCUGUGUUUUGACAGCAGGCAACGAUCAGCUUCAUCAGCUACAGGGUAUUUCAAAGCAAGAAGCUUAUAUUUUCCAGCCACAACUCAGAAUAAGACUGGGUUUAUAUCACCAAGCCACCAACAGAGCCCAAAGAGAACUCCUUUAUCAUCUAUCAUAUGGAAUAGAUCAGAUUCUUCUAGAGACAGGCAGAACCAGGAAGAGUUCCUGGAGGCACCAUCACCAAUGGAAAUUGACCCUGCUGACCAAUAUAUGUAUCCCAGGUGUUUCCAGGCGAAUAGCAGAUAUGAAUUUUACCAUUCACAGAGUGUUUACCAAAGUGUUGGUUUAAAUGCCCCAAUAGAUAAUGCAAUGAGUCCUGACCCACUUGAGAACUCAGAAAAUAUGCCAUUCUACCAUGAAGAUAACCCAUUUACUAGGUCUUUCUUUAGCAAUACCUUUGGACGGAGCAGGGGACAGAGAUUUGAACAAAAUCCUUUUUGGAGCCAACAGGAAGAACAUUCUUCUUCUGACUUUCAUCAAAGCAGGAAACCAUUUACUUCUUCUGACAGAGACUUUGAAAUGAUCUCCACUGAAGUAAACAGUGCACUAGCUGGUCAUGGCCAGAGUGUUCCUUCUCAACACUGGGGGUCAUUUUCUUCUAGUUAUAGAACAAAUAUUUCCAGAAACCAACAGAUACCACAUCCUUGGCAGUUUGAUUCUCAGACAUCCACACUGGAGAGCAUGGAGGUGUCACAAGGUAAUGGGAACCAGUCUACUCAUUUCAGCCCAGCAAAUGUUUGUUCCAUAACUGGUGCAAGCUAUCACAUGAAAUCUGGUGGGUUAGAAUGUUCUCCUAUGGAAAUACAUGUAAACAAAGAACCGUACCCAUUUGGAAUUGCUCAAACUCUAGCAUCCCCAUUCAAAAGUUCCUUCCCUCACAUUCCUGAUGACAGAGGGAAUCCUCAGAGUCCUAACUUUCAGACUCCCACAGUCACUUUGCAGAAAAUUAAGCCGGCCUCUCUUCCAAACAGAAACUAUACAGAAGUCACUGUGACCAACAAUGUUUCAGUUGAUUCUCCACCUCUGACUGAAAGCCAAGCCAAUAUCUUGGUCACAGAAGUAAAUAAUGAGAAAGAUUUGAAGGCAUCUGUUUUGGAAAAAGACAAAAAAAUAAACAAGAUAGACCAGACAAACAUGACAGGUGAAAUACCCCAACUUGUUUCACAGACAGUAAUUUCCAACCCUUUACCUGAUGUUCAAAAUCCCCUUUCCCAGGACUCAGACAAGAGCAACAGGUUUGUUUUUAAUGCAUCUACCACAAUAAGUUCAAAAAGGUUGCCUGGAAUCAUUUCCAGGAGAGAUACCUCCAAAAUUCAUAAAGCCAAUGAACUAAAAAAAGGUAAGGGUUAUACUGGGACCAGAAAACUUGACUCAACAACUUCCCUUCCUUUCAUUCAGGAAAGCAGAACAACAUCACUUUUUCUCAGCCCAAGUCAAAUUUGUCACCAGGAAUUAACAGUAAGUAAUGAAGAUAUUUCAAGCAUUAUUAAAAAGAACCACGGGAGUUCUGAACAUACUGAUAAUCAAUACUCACAGUCUCCAGAAAAGCCUGCUCGUUUCGAUACCAAGGAAGAACAAUGUAUCAUGACUUAUUCUACCAGCUGUCGCAAGUCAGAUGCUGAUCACAACCUGCCUCAUAAUUCUUUAGAUCUGUCUUCAGGGGCACUACCAGAUUCCUCACCAUCAAAUGAUUCUUGCCUUGAUGCUCCGGUAAUUCCUUCUACCACGAUGUUCUGGAAAUGUCCUUCAAACAAAGACUCAUCUCUGGGAGAAAGAGAAGACACUGAUUACAAGAACCAAAAUAGUCAAUUUUCCCUAAGCCACUUAGAAAACCAAAAGAGUAAUGAUAAUCACACACCUGUACAUAAUGAAGAGGUUAAUGUUGUCAAAUGUGAGUCACACCCUCUUUUCAGGGGUGGAAAGGGAAAAGGAAAAAUAAGAGAACGCAUAUCCUACAUCGAAAAAUUAAGCAAAACAGAAAGUAGAUCAGUGCCUACAAGUGACAACAGCAGUCUUACUGAGGGAACUCAAAGCAAUUCCAAGUCUCCUGAGCUUGAUACAACUUAUUGUACUUUACCAAGAAAAUCAGCCAAGGAUAACAAGGAGCCUGAAAGUACAAUAAUGCCUUCUUUGUUCAGGAAUGAGCCAGUUGCAUUACAAAUCAAAAACAAUAUGGAAGAUCCAGUAGGAAAGAACACAUCAAAAAAAUUAAGUCCCAGUUAUUGUGAAUCAGAGAGCGAAUGUUCCAAAGUCGUUUCAGACUCAGUCUCAGUAGCACUUGAAGCCACAGAAGGGAUGACAGAUAUGACAAACACUGGAUCUACUUCUGUUAGAAAAGGGCCACUUCCAGUCCUCAUCAAGAGGGCUGUGUCAUGGCCUUCAGAAGUGCUUUAUGCCUCAACUGGAAGAGAUGAAAGAGAAAAAUGCUUGGUUUCCAAUACAGAUGCUUCUCCUAUAACACUGAGGCCUAGGGAGAGACUCAUUAACCCUCUGGGAAGUGACUCAUCUGUUUGUGAGUGUUCUUUAAGCAAGAAACACCACCAGGAGGAAUGCUUACAAGAAUAUACUGAAAAGAGUGGUAAAAUUUCUGCCUCCAAGACAGGCAUAUUUUCCCAUCCAAAUGAACACCCUUUACCUUUUUCUUCAGAUAUGUCAGGACAAGAAAGUGGGAAAACUUUACAUAAAUUUAAGACUACGAGUACGUUUUCUGUUUCUGGUGAUGAAGAUAAUGUGAAAUGUCUUGAGGUGGUUUCAAUAUAUUAUACUCUACCAAGGAAACACAGCAAAAAAUUCUGUGACCUUCUUCAAAAGUAUACACAAAACAUCGAUUCACUUACAGAAUCAACUAAAGUGGGGACUAAAACAUCUCCCAGUGCUUUAGAAAAAGACCAACUGAAUUGUUCUGUGCAAGACCAGUCAGGAACAUCUUUGUCUAAAGAUACCUCUGCUCAGGAGACCAGUCAUCUUUCUCAUCUCACUGAAAAUAUGACUGUUUUACAAUUACCAAGUGUUGAGUCCUCAGAAUCUACAUUACAGGAAAUGGCUUCUAUUGAAGCAGAUGUUUCUCUUCAUAAACAAGAACCUAAAACUGGAGAAAUUUCCCCAUACAACUUAGCUAAAACACCUCCAUCUGAUUCACAAAGCAGGAAAGAGAAAGAGAAAAAAUUGCAAAGUGAAACUGUGUUUACUUUACCAAUGCUUCAGGAAAAAAAAUUUACAAGAGAGAAAUCUGAAAAUCAUCCACAAUUCAUUAAAUCAGAUGACAGUGGUUUUUCUAACCUCCCAGCCCAUUCAGAAGAGAAUAUCGAAAACUCCCGCAUCAUAAGAAGUUCUGGGGAGUGUCCAGGUAGUAAUACAGCCAUUACAACUACUGGAAGUCUUCAAAAAGAUAUCACAGGCAUAGUUACAGAGGAGAGCUCCAAUGGAUUGCAGCCUAGGGAAGUUAGAGGGGAAAUUAGAACAGAUUUCCCAAAAAACUCUGAGAAACCACUUUCUGACUCAGAAAGCCAAGUCUUUGCUCUUACUCCAGCCUUGAGUAAACUACAGCUUGAUGAAGAGACUUGUUCAAGUGAACAAGAUUUAGACAGUUCACAGACUGAACCCAGAGAACUACCUGAAAGAAGACAGGAGGUAAAUACGACAGAGAGCAAGGCUAAGGAUGAAAUGCAGAAGUUGGCAUGGAAUCAAUGCUCACUUCCUGAAGGAAGUAAUAAAAGUAAAAAAAUCUUGGCUGACCUAGAAAAAGGGAAAAGUGGAUCUUCAGUUAAACACAGAUUGGUAGUUAUGUCCAAGCCCAGCAGAAAAUUUCCAGCUAAAGAUUUCUACCCUAGAAGACAUGUAGCUACUAUCUUUCCCCAAAGUGGGAACAGUUCUGGCUUUAGCAGUUUGUCCCUUGGCACACCAGAGUGCAACCCACUGUCCCUCGAGCCUACUUUAAAGUCCACAGAAACCACAGAUGAAAGCAGGUUAAAUAAUGAUGGAAUAAAUGUGGAGAAAUCCGAGAACCCUCUCCAGCUUACUGCAAUACCCAAUAGAGAAGCUUCUACACACUUAAGUAAUCAGAAGUCCAGCAACAUUUCACAAUUACAUAAAAACGAGUUUGAAAAUAUCUCAGAAUCACAACCAAAGUGUGAGAAUUCUGAGGAUGUAACAGUUGCUCAGAUUUUGGAAAGAGAAUCAGGAGCCCUGGCCCAACCCACAUUGAUCAGCCUCAGGGAAGCAGACUUCCCUGACCAUCAGAGGAAGUCGAAACCCCCUUUUCAAUUGGAGCCUGUAGAGAAAUCUACGGUUUGCAUCCCACUGACCAGUUGUCGGCAAGGACAAAACAGUGCUUCAUCUCUGGAGUGUGAACGUCAGCUACACCCCUAUCGUUCAGAGAGCUUAAAAAGCGUCAAUGUACAUGGUGAUAUACUACGAAUAAGCCAUCCUCCGAAAGUCAGAGAGCGCCAUUUCUCUGAAAGCACUUCUAUUGAUGAUGUCCUGAGUCGACUGACCCUUGGGAAUGAAUUCUUUAACAACAGCGGGUACAGUCGAAGAUUUAAAUCUUUUUCUGAACUUCCCUCCUGGGGUGAAAAUGAAAGUUGGGCUUUGAACAACAGCAGGACAAAAAUGGGUCCUAGGUCUGCAACAGCUAUAUCCAGGCCUAUUGACUAUGGAAUUUUUGGGAAAGAACAACAGCUGGCUUUCUUGGAAAAUGUAAAGAGGUCACUCACACAAGGGAGAUUAUGGAAACCAAGUUUUCUUAAGAACCCUGGCUUCCUGAAAGAUGAUGUAAUUAACCCUGCUAACCCGGCAGAGUCAUCGACUCCAAAUUCUCCUAGUAACCAGAGGCCAGAGGAUGGCUUAUCUCUAAGUGCGCCACUUAAUAUCUAUGAAGAGGAUCCAAUAGACUCAGAUUGUGCCACAGACACAACCACGGAUGACGAAUACUACUUGGAUGAAAAUGACAAGGAGUCAGAACUGUGA
rnacentral:lncRNA from 1 species